rnacentral:snRNA from 1 species
UUGCUCGCUUUGGUGACACAUAUACUAUAUUGGAAUGAUACAGAGAAGAUUAGCAUGAACCUUGAGCAAGAACGACACAUAAAUUCGUGAAGUUUUCAUAUAAAAA